UACAUUAAAGUGUAUGAUGCACAUUAGCCUUUGGCACUAAAAGUGAUAGUUUAAUCCUAUCAAAUGUAA
rnacentral:tRNA from 2 species